AGGAGGUUUAUCUAGGGUUUAUCAAGUUCAUGUACAUUUCCUAAUAAGUGUACACCUUUUCCACUUCGCUUCCUAUUUUUGAGGUCGAAUUUUCUCAGUUUACCAUUUCAGUAGCUUCGAGAUCCCUUUCACUGUAUUCUCCUGUUGAAAAGAUUCCCAAGGUUGGUUGAAACUACCAUAUUUUUUUGUAAAGUUUUUUCAUUUUGUUUUAGGGUUUUUCGAUUAACUCUUGUUUGAAUUGGGAAUGUGAAUUUAUCAUUAAAGAGUGAAAUAAGCGAAGAUGUCUUGAAUAGCUGUGGAAUUGAUUUUUCAAUUCCCUUCCUUGUGGGCUCUGCCACUGAUUAGGAGAAAUAAAUUGUUUUUGGUCAAAUUUUCAAAUGCGUCGAAAGCUUGCAACAACAUGCUAUCGGGUUUUAAUGAGCUCAAAUCGUCAAACGACCUCGAAACCGCCUUUUUUUAGUCAAUUUAGUGAACAUAGGUCUAAAGGGUUUUCCCUACUUCGGGUAUUUUCUGCAUUUUCCCACAAUCGGAAAAUGCCUGACUCAGAUGAUCCCUUAAGCUUAAUGAAGGAAGAUGGGGUUGCACUUUGUUCACAAAUGUGGAUUGAGAAUUUCCGAGAACCCGAAAAGAGUGUCAACAAUUUGACUACAUUUCUUAGAAAGUUUGAGUUGUGGGUGUUGGCAUAUCAGAAGGUAUAUGCUGAUGAAACUGGUUCGUAUUUACCUCGUCAUUCAAUACAAAGAUCAGCCUUGGAUGAUUUGUUGGCUCUCAGGAAUGCAGUUCUUGAUGACAGGUUUAAGUGGGGUGCAAGGUUGAACUUUUAUAUCAAGUCGCCAAGGGAUAAGACUGAUUAUGAAUCUUUAUCAAAAAGAAAGAUUAAGACGAUUUUAACUACCACUCAGCCAACUCCUUAUCAAGAUAGGAUUGUCCAAGAAGUUUUAUUUAUGAUUUUGGAGCCUAUUUAUGAGGCACGGUUUUCACAAAAGUCGUAUGCAUUCAGACCUGGUAGGACUGCUCACACAGUUUUGCGGGUUAUCAGGAGGUCUUUUGCUGGGUAUCUCUGGUAUGUAAAAGGAGAUUUGAGUACCAUUCUUGAUGGGGUGAAGGUAGGGUUUAUCAUAAAUACUCUAAUGAGGGAUGUGAGGGAUAAGAAGGUAAUUGAUUUGAUAAGAUCGGCACUAUUAACCCCAGUGAUUUCGACUAAGAUUGAUGAUGGUGAGAAAAAGAAGAAGAAAAGAAAGUAUCAGAAGAAGAAGGUUUUAGCAGAGGAUGAGCCAAAACCUGAUCCGUACUGGUUGGAUACCUUUUUUGGGUUUGCUCCUGAGGAAGCAGAGAAGGUUCCGUCUUGGGGUCAUUGUGGGAUCUUGAGCCCUCUACUAGCAAACAUAUGCCUAGAUGAAUUAGAUCAUUGGAUGGAGGGCAAGAUUAAGGAGUUUUAUAGUCCUUCAAAAAGUGAUGUGAUAUGGAAUACUCCUGAAGGCGAAGCAGAACAGGGGAAUACUUCUUGGCCAGAGUUUGUCCCCACUAGCGGGCCUGAUAAAACGCGCAAAAUGGACUAUAUAAGAUAUGGAGGUCACAUCUUGAUUGGAAUCAGAGGACCUAGAGCUGAUGCAGCAACAUUGAGAAAGCAGUUAAUUGAGUUUUGUGAUCAGAAAUAUCUCCUUAAGCUUGACAAUGACAGUCUACCCAUUGAGCACAUAACUAAGGGCAUUAUGUUUCUUGACCAUGUAUUAUGCCGAAGGGUUGUUUAUCCCACUCUACGCUACACAGCUACUGGGGGAAAAAUUAUCAGUGAGAAGGGUGUAGGAACCCUGUUGUCUGUAACAGCAAGUUUGAAGCAAUGUAUAAAGCAGUUUAGAAAAUUGAACUUUCUAAAGGGGGAUCGAGAACCUGACCCACAGCCUUGUUUUAGAAUGUUUCAUGCUACUCAAGCUCACACAAAUUCCCAGAUGAACAAGCUGCUAUCCACUAUGGUUGAGUGGUACAAAUAUGCCGAUAACAGGAAGAAAAUAGUUAAUUUUUGCUCUUAUAUAGUGAGAGGAUCACUUGCAAAGCUGUAUGCUGCAAAGUAUAAGCUUCGUUCACGAGCUAAGGUAUACAAGAUUAGUGAUAGGACCCUUAGUCGUCCAUUGAAAGAGAAAAAGGGGCUUUCACCUGAGUAUCAGAACUUGCUGAGAAUGGGUCUUGCGGAGUCUAUUGAAGGGCUGAAGUAUACAAGGAUGUCUCUUGUUCCUGAAACUGAUUACACUCUGUUCCCCAGUAAUUGGAGACCUGACCACGAAAAGGCAUUGCUUGAAUUCCUGUGCCUCGAUAAUCCAAAGGCCUUGGAGGAUCAAAGAAACUGUAUCAAAGAGCAAGGGCUCAUUUCACCUCAAGAUUACAUUUCAAUGCUUGUUUGGAACUAUAAAAGAAAUGCUACUGUAUUAGGUCAUCUCUCCUCUAUUGAUGGUAGUGGUAAGAAGGUCGAAAACUGUGAGCAGCUUAAGUUGGAGUCGAGUAGUGUAAACUGUGUUGAAACAAAUGAUGAGGAAGAAAAAGCUGAAAGAACGAAAUUGGCACACAUAAAUCAGGAAUUAUAUGUUUCGAAUUGGUGGUCCCUGACAAACACCUAGAUAGAGAUGGAUAUGCAUCAUUCAGGGUUUGUGAAAUUUUCACUUGUUUGACAUGUUCCAUCAGCCAUUCAGGGUUUGACGAGGCUCCAGAGGAUGAAGAGGGAUUGGUCACUACUAUGACACGUGUGGUAAAUUUGUUGUUGUGUGAGCCCAACAGUAAGUUCCUCUUUCCUGUUUGGUAUUUUUGCUGACCUUCGGUUGUCACUGCCAUUUGGAAUUCUGGAGAUCACAGGUUCCAUAGGAAACUGUCAUGAAUGUCUUUGAGAGGGAAAUAUAGGAAUUUCUUAAUAAACAAUAAUUAGUGAUUGGUUAGUUGGAAUAAGAUUGAGAGAGAAAUAGUAUAAAUAGAAGGGAAGGGAAGGGAAGGGACGGGAAAGAGAAAGACAUUCAGCCAUCUGCAAUAGAAGUUGGAUGAGUUUCUGAGAUGAAUCAGUAGCCUUUUAGAAGAAGAGAAAAGAAAAGGAAAGUACAGUUGAUUCGCACAGCUAGCUCCAAAUACUAGAUUGUAUUAACUCAGGAAGUAUGAUCUUAGCAUUUUAUUUACACAACUAUGCUAGAUCCUUCUAGUAUUUGCUAAAUGCAAUGCAUAUUCUACUGACAUCAUAACAUAAUUCCUCUAACAGAAUUAUUCAUUUGGCCCAGGAGAAUAUUCCACAAUAGCAUCAGUAGCAGUGACUUCUUUUGCAGCAGCAGUAACUUCUCUUUGAUGACCUCCAUUCUUGCGCCUCCUGUCGGCCAUUACCUUUUUAUUAGAAACUCCUUGGAUGACAAGUUACUGUUUUGGGGAGAUUUUAAGCUUCUAUUACAAAUAAGUGAAUUCCAUGCUCUUUCCCUUCCCUUCUAUUUAUACUAUUUCUCUCUCAAUCUCAUUCCAACUAGCCGAUUACUAAUUAUUAUUUAUUAGAUAAUUUCAAUAUUUCCCUCUCAAAGACAUCUCAUGCUCAAAAUAUUGGGGUGCCAGGGCUAAACAUAUGCGGCUGCUCAGAGGCUGUCCAAGUUACUGCAGUGAAGGUGGUAAUCUGGUCACUUGGAAGAGUAAAAACAAAAGUUGGUUGCCUUAUCCAGUGUUGAAGCUGAAUUCAGAGGAAUAGCCAAAGGAGUUACAGACGUUUUCUGGGUUAGGAAACUACUGAGUGAACUGAACUUUCAGAGAAAGCGACAUGUAACAUAUAUUGUGACAAUAAAGCAGCGAUUAGCAUCUUUGAGAACUCAGUUCAACAUGACAAAACUAAGCAUAUCGAGAUUGACAGACACAUAAAGGAGAAGCUAGAGAAGAUCAUUAGUCUCCCAUUUGUUAGAUCAAAAGAUCAACUAGCCGAUAUUCUCACAAAAGCUGUGGCAUCUAAAGCUUUCGGUACUGCUUUGUGCAAGCUAGGCAUUGGUGAUCCUACGACGUAACUUGAGGGCAUAGCAUUUUGUGAUGAAACAACGGACAUCUCAGCCCCAUUUAAAUUAUUCUGACAAUAGAAAGCAGAUGACACAAUAGCAGCUGCGUGGGCACCAGCAAUAGCAGUUCAUGUCUUCGUUUUCUGAUUUUGUAGGAUUAUAAGAUUUAUUUUGUAGUCUGGACUUGAAGAUCUUCAUCUUGGUGGAUCAGAACAAGUCUAAUUGCUCUUUCAGGAACUAAUAUUGAGAAUGCUGGCAAUUGGUUCAAUUGGGGUCAAGAAAGUCCAAAACAUCUUUAAAAAAGUAUCUAAAGCAUCUUCAAACAUUCAUCCUUGGUGCACUCUGAGAUAAUUCCAUUCUAAGAUUUCACUUCCGGCCUCAUCCCUUUUUAAUUUUCCCAUUCAUGGCAAAGCCUGAGACAAAUGCAUUCCGAGAAAUUAAAUCUGCUUCCACACCAUCCAACUCCAUCUUGCAAAAUGUGUCCAUUGCUCAUCAAGACGACCGUGAAACGUAUAAGCUACUAUGAGCACAGUCCAAGAAACUACAUCCUUAGUCCUCAUUGUGUUGAAUACACUCUUUGAUGAUUUCAAUGAGCCAUAAUAUGUAUACAUAUCAAUAAGAGCAUUCCCAACAACAACAUCCUUAUCUAAGCCCCUUCUUAUGGCAUACCCAUGAACCAUUUCGCCACAUUUCCUCACUUGCAUUACUGAACAGGCUUUGUAUAUUGUUGGUAGAAGAAAUCUGUCAGGCAACAUCCUAUCAUUGAACAUCAUCUCAAACAACAUCCUAUCAUUGAACAUCAUCUCAAACACCACGGAAAGAUUAACCCAUUUCUCAGAUCGACAGAAAGAGCUUAUUAAAGAAGCAUAUGCAGGUAUUGCUCUCUCAGAAAGCUCAUCAAAAAGCUUGCACACAUCAUCCAACAACUCUAAACUCUUGCAAUAUGUAAGCAAUAGCUUAUUACCCAAGAAAGUAUCUGAUGAUAGAAUAUUUUUCGUCACAUGUGCUGAUCCCAAAAUUAGAAAGGAGGUGUAUUCCUCUAUUCUUGCUUGCCAUUUCAUAAAGCCCUCAAGGCAUAUAUAUUAUAUACAUAGGACAAGUGCACAGCUUAUACAGCUAGCAAAUUACCUCUAAUAGAAAAUUUUGUAAUAAAGACCAAGAAUC